rnacentral:rRNA from 1 species
CUUCGGGGUGGAUCAGUGGCGAACGGGUGAGUAACACGUGGGCAAUCUGCCCUGCACUCUGGGACAACACCGGGAAACCGGUGCUAAUACCGGAUAUGACGCGCUCUCGCAUGGGGGUGUGUGGAAAGCUCCGGCGGUGCAGGAUGAGCCCGCGGCCUAUCAGCUUGUUGGUGGGGUGAUGGCCUACCAAGGCGACGACGGGUAGCCGGCCUGAGAGGGCGACCGGCCACACUGGGACUGAGACACGGCCCAGACUCCUACGGGAGGCAGCAGUGGGGAAUAUUGCACAAUGGGCGCAAGCCUGAUGCAGCGACGCCGCGUGAGGGAUGACGGCCUUCGGGUUGUAAACCUCUUUCAGCAGGGAAGAAGCGCAAGUGACGGUACCUGCAGAAGAAGCGCCGGCUAACUACGUGCCAGCAGCCGCGGUAAUACGUAGGGCGCAAGCAUUGUCCGGAAUUAUUGGGCGUAAAGAGCUCGUAGGCGGCCUGUCGCGUCGGAUGUGAAAGCCCGGGGCUUAACCCCGGGUCUGCAUUCGAUACGGGCAGGCUGGAGUUCGGUAGGGGAGAUCGGAAUUCCUGGUGUAGCGGUGAAAUGCGCAGAUAUCAGGAGGAACACCGGUGGCGAAGGCGGAUCUCUGGGCCGAUACUGACGCUGAGGAGCGAAAGCGUGGGGAGCGAACAGGAUUAGAUACCCUGGUAGUCCACGCCGUAAACGUUGGGAACUAUGUGUGGGCGACAUUCCACGUCGUCCG